CCUACGGGAGGCAGCAGUGGGGAAUAUUGCACAAUGGGGGAAACCCUGAUGCAGCGACGCCGCGUGAGUGAAGAAGUAUCUCGGUAUGUAAAGCUCUAUCAGCAGGGAAGAAAAUGACGGUACCUGACUCAGAAGCCCCGGCUAACUACGUGCCAGCAGCCGCGGUAAUACGUAGGGGGCAAGCGUUAUCCGGAUUUAUUGGGGUUAAAGGGAGCGUAGAUGGGUUGUGAAGUCAGGAGUGAAAGUUCGGGGCCCAACCCUGGGAUUGCAGUGGAAACUGGCUCUCUGGAGUACAGGUGAGGUAGGCGGAAUUCGUGGUGUAGCGGUGAAAUGCGUAGAUAUCACGAAGAACUCCGAUUGCGAAGGCAGCUUACUGGACUGGAACUGACGUUGAGGCUCGAAAGCGUGGGGAGCGAACAGGAUUAGAUACCCGAGUAGUC
rnacentral:rRNA from 1 species